rnacentral:rRNA from 1 species
CCUACGGGUGGCUGCAGUGGGGAAUAUUGGACAAUGGGGGCAACCCUGAUCCAGCCAUGCCGCGUGUGUGAAGAAGGCCCUCGGGUUGUAAAGCACUUUCAGUGAGGAAGAACGCCUGGUGGUUAAUACCCAUCAGGAAAGACAUCACUCACAGAAGAAGCACCGGCUAACUCCGUGCCAGCAGCCGCGGUAAUACGGAGGGUGCGAGCGUUAAUCGGAAUUACUGGGCGUAAAGCGCGCGUAGGUGGCUUGAUAAGCCGGUUGUGAAAGCCCCGGGCUCAACCUGGGAACGGCAUCCGGAACUGUCAAGCUAGAGUGCAGGAGAGGAAGGUAGAAUUCCCGGUGUAGCGGUGAAAUGCGUAGAGAUCGGGAGGAAUACCAGUGGCGAAGGCGGCCUUCUGGACUGACACUGACACUGAGGUGUGAAAGCGUGGGUAGCAAACAGGAUUAGAUACCCCGGUAGUC